rnacentral:rRNA from 1 species
AGCGAACGCUGGCGGCAGGCCUAACACAUGCAAGUCGAACGAACCCUUCGGGGUUAGUGGCGGACGGGUGAGUAACACGUGGGAACGUGCCUUUAGGUUCGGAAUAACUCAGGGAAACUUGUGCUAAUACCGAAUGUGCCCUUCGGGGGAAAGAUUUAUCGCCUUUAGAGCGGCCCGCGUCUGAUUAGCUAGUUGGUGAGGUAAUGGCUCACCAAGGCUACGAUCAGCAGCUGGUCUGAGAGGAUGACCAGCCACAUUGGGACUGAGACACGGCCCAAACUCCUACGGGAGGCAGCAGUGGGGAAUCUUGCGCAAUGGGCGAAAGCCUGACGCAGCCAUGCCGCGUGGAUGAUGAAGGUCUUAGGAUUGUAAAAUCCUUUCACCGGUGAAGAUAAUGACUGUAGCCGGAGAAGAAGCCCCGGCUAACUUCGUGCCAGCAGCCGCUGUAAGAC